ensembl:lncRNA
UGCUGACGGCCACUGCCUGCAGGGCCUCUCUGCCAGAGCCCGGCCAGUUCUGCAGCUGCUUCUGUCCAUCCGCCCUCAUAAUGCUGCUUUAUAAAAAGACCCAUGAAGUCAUCAGUGUUUAGCCUCCCAUGUAAUCGUUUUCAAGAAAACGAGCUGAAAGGCUGCCAGACUCAGUGAAAAAUUUAAUGAAUACAGUUUUGCUCCUCCCUGCUUCCCUACUGUACAGGAAAGCUGUAUCACUGAGCCUCUUACAGAGUGAGGUGAGAUGGGGAGGUCAGGACAGCAAGUGGGCAGGGACACCUGUGUGCUGUGGGGUGAGGAGGAUGGGGCUCACCCAAACACAAGGACAGAGCGAAGGGUGGGAGUUCUUGAGCCUGCUGGUACCAGUGCUGACGGUGCUGUGCAGUGAAGGGUAAAGAAAUUGUAUUUUGUAUUUUUUUUCUUUCCCGACUGUUUCUUUUUAUUCCAUCUUUGGUGUGAGUUAUUUUGGUAAAAUCACCAUUUGUGUGUCUGAUGGAAGCAUCAGUGAAGGACUUCUAGUUUCUAGAAGUCAGUGUUGGCUCAUGAGCUCCUGCAAAUGACACUGGAGUCUAUUGCUCUUAGUACAGAGGGGCACAACACCAGAUGAGUUAAAUAUUACUUGUGGUGGUGCCGUUCCUUAAUACAAUGACUUUACUGACUGCACUACUGAAGCUGUUAUCUUACUGUCUGGUGCUACCACAGAGGUGAGCAAUACGAGCAACAGAGGGCCUGCUUGUGGCUGGUAAUAACAGUCCAGAGGAUUUCUCAUGGUGGCUGUUGCAUUAAUGACCUUUGUGUUGUGUUAAUGACCUUUCAUGGAGCGUUCUGCCACUGGGAAUUGCUUCUGCAAAGUAUUACUGGCCACAACUUAGGACUCUUAAUAUUUGAUGGACUACUGCAGAUUGUAUUUCAGGAUAUGGGAUACCAUCCCAGCAAUGCAAGUUAGGAAUGCUAAGCAUGUUGCAGUCCUUCCCCUUCGUUUUACUGUUGGAGGUGUUGGUAACCUCUCAUAGAAAUGUGCUAGAAGAGCAGAGAAAAGGAGAGAGAUUUCUAAGUACAGCUCCUAAAGACACUGGUUUAGUAAAGUCCAUAACACUCAGUUGCAUGCCUGCUGUCUCAGUUGGUGUGCGAGCCAGCUUGCAGCUCUGGGGUGGCAGAGGGAUUCCCAGCAAGAGAGACCAAGCAUCAGUGCGUGACAGUGCUUAAUGAAUGAGCUCUGAAAUGAGCUCAGAAAUCUGAAAACCCCUUGGAAGGAUGGAUGCCACGAAGAAGACAGAAGGCAGCAUAGCUGUUGUACUGAAAAGGCGGCAGAGGUGAUGGCAGAACUGAGGGAGCAGUCAUGAUUUGUGCUGAAGGCAAAGUGUGUUCGGCUCUGUCCCUGCAUCUCGAAUGACCUCUGUCAGGAAACG